rnacentral:rRNA from 1 species
UACGGGGGGGGCAAGCGUUGUUCGGAAUUACUGGGCGUAAAGGGCUCGUAGGCGGCCAACUAAGUCAGACGUGAAAUCCCUCGGCUCAACCGAGGAACUGCGUCCGAUACUGGUGGGCUUGAAUCCGGGAGAGGGAUGUGGAAUUCCAGGUGUAGCGGUGAAAUGCGUAGAUAUCUGGAGGAACACCGGUGGCGAAGGCGGCAUCCUGGACCGGUAUUGACGCUGAGGCGCGAAAGCUAGGGGAGCAAACGGG